rnacentral:tRNA from 13 species
AAACACCGGAGAGAUUCGAAAACACGAUCUCCUGUUUACUAGACAGAUGCUUUAACCAACUAAGCCACGACGCC